UUUUUUUUCAUUUUUUACUAUUAAAAAGAACAUUACAUUUUUAUACUUUGCCCUUUCCCAUGUGCCUAAUGCAAGUUGUUUAAACAGGAAAAAUACACUUCGGUAAUGCUCAAUUUACUGAUUGCAUCGUGAGAGCUCCCUGGAAACUAUUAAGUUCUUCUAUUUAAAUCCUUCUUUCUUUGUAGGGGUUACUGAACUGGUUCCCCUAGACCCCUUGUUUUCUAUGUCCUCAAUUUGCCUGUACAUCAAGACUGAAUUCUCUAGUUAGUAAAGAUGGGUUCAUCGGAAUAUAUCGUGGCAUAUGGCAGAUGCAGCAACUUCCUAAACCUAGCAAACUGCUUCUGGGCAAUCAGCUUGUCUCUGAGAAUCUCCUGACCUCUUGAGGACUGGAAAUGCUGCAAAUGCAAAUACAGUUAAAUAGCUUCAUUGGGCACCCACCAGCAGAGGGCGAAAGGGCCCCAGAGUCCAUAUAACCACGUGUGUUUCUGCUUCAUGGGCCUGAAAAUGACCAGAUUUCUUCCCUUGAGCUUGGCUGAAGCUUCAUUCACGACCAGGCUUAGGAGCUACAUCUGAGAACAGAGUGAUGGAUCAGGCCCCAGCAUCUAAAAUGUAGGUGCUGGUCAGUCACAGGAAUGAUAAACCCAUGGGAUGUCUCGCGCUUAAAUUCCUUUCGUCACACCUAGAAAAUGUUCAGAUUUCCUCUGUCUUGGUUUGUCUUCCAAACCUCGUUCCCACAUCCGAUCCCUGACACUGACCCUGUUGGUUCCCAUUAUGGCCUCUAUCCACACAGCCUCUCUCCAGUGCAAAACUUUAGUGAAGAAUCUUUUCUUCUGAGAACGAUGGAGAUGGUGUGAUGAUGGCCCCUGAAGUUAGUCACAGCUUUGCACAAGCUUGAUUUAAUACUAGACAUUCCUCUGUGGCACCAGACUCUGCUGUUUCCACUGCCCGUGUUGCUGGCCUGAGGAGCCCAGGUGCCGUCAACAGCUCUUCAGACCUCUGGGAUAGAUGCUUUAUCCUGAUGUUCAUCCUGGAAUGAGCAUCAUUGCUGAAAAGUCUUGGCCAGGCAAUGACCUCCCGUCUAAUGAGCCCAAGCCACAUUAUCACACUUUAAUCUUUUAUAUGACAAUAGUUGUAUGUAUUAGCCAUACUCAUGGCAUUGACGGAUACAGUUUUCAUCUUGGAGCCAGAAUGACACAAAUC
rnacentral:lncRNA from 1 species